rnacentral:rRNA from 1 species
GACGAACGCUGGCGGCGUGCUUAACACAUGCAAGUCGAACGGAGCACCCUUGAAGGAGUUUUCGGACAACGGAGAGGAAUGCUUAGUGGCGGACUGGUGAGUAACGCGUGAGGAACCUGCCUUCCAGAGGGGGACAACAGUUGGAAACGACUGCUAAUACCGCAUGACAUAUCCGAAUCGCAUGGUAUGGAUAUCAAAAGAUUUAUCGCUGGAAGAUGGCCUCGCGUCUGAUUAGCUAGUAGGCGGGGUAACGGCCCACCUAGGCGACGAUCAGUAGCCGGACUGAGAGGUUGACCGGCCACAUUGGGACUGAGAUACGGCCCAGACUCCUACGGGAGGCAG